CCGGGAGCGGGGCUGCGGGGCUGCCGGCUGCUGCUCAGCGCCCGCCCCCGCCGGUGCCGCUGCCGGUGCGGAUCUCGGGCAGGGCGGCAGCGAGGAGCCCGCUCGCUAGGCAGGGCGAGCAGCGCCCGAGGAUGCUCCCCUGGCCCGGGGCUGGCAGGGGAGAUGCCCUCCCCGGAGCAGCACCAUUUACGUAAGAUCAGCGCUCACCCCGCUUCAGAAGCGUCUCCCUGAAUUUGAGGGAGGGUUGGGAAGGGGAAAAAAACAAAAAAAGAAAAAAAAAAAACAAAAAAAGCUCCACCACCGCCAAACUGAAAGAAGCCAGCGAGAAGGAGGAGGAAAGCCGAUCCGCAGGAACAUACUACUCAACACCAGGCACUGAAUGGAAGAGAUACCACUGUUUGUUAGACUGGUGGCUUGCACAGGAAAAGAAGGAAUGAAGGUGGAGGAAAAUAAAAAACUGAGAAAAGGAAAAUUGAGAAGAAAGAAAAAGAUAAUGCAUGAGUCAAUGUUAGAGUGCAAGUCAAAUUAGG
ensembl:lncRNA